rnacentral:lncRNA from 1 species
GUUCUGGGCAUGAUUAACAAAGGGAAAACUGAGAGCAUUCCUACUGAAGCCCCUUCUCCUUUCAGCUCCCACCCAGGCGGCCUGUCCUUACGGGCCUUGCAGCGGAGACUUGAGCCACCACCUGUCCUUACAGGCCUUGGAGUGGAGACUUGAGCCACCACCUGUCAGAGGUGGAGGCUUCACAGGCACAGCCGGAGCUGAGAACCCUGGUGCCCAGUUGUCUGCGACUGAAGCUGGAUCAAGGGUUUGACUGUGGCUAUGGCUUAGCCAGGCGGGGCGUUUCCUCCGCCACCUGCAGCUUCACAGCCAACGCUGAUCCUGGGAAGCAAUGGCCCCUGCAAGGGAUCCACUUCUGCUCAGAUUUCCUUAAAACCCUGGGUCGUGUUCAUCCUUACUCUCCGUCCCACUCAAUAUCUACUCCUGGAGCCCCUGGGGCUGCCUGAUGCUCAUCUGUCAAGUGAUGUCCCCAGCUGAGGAAUAAGGAGACCCAUGUCCUCAGGAGGGAGGGUCACGUGAUGUAACGAGCACCAUCUGGAUCCCCGGUGAGGCCACACAGAAGACGCUCAGUGAGUGUCGGGGAUGCUGUAGUCCCUGACACGGUGACCCUGGAU